UCCUUUUAAAAUAGUAGAAGAAUUCAGCCAAUCCACGGAGGAACAGAGCAAACAGCCAACAGUACCGCAGCAUAUAUGAAAACAGGAGAUCAAAAAUUGCAGCGGACAUU